rnacentral:rRNA from 1 species
UACGUAGGGGGCUAGCGUUGUCCGGAAUCAUUGGGCGUAAAGCGCGUGUAGGCGGUCCGGUAAGUCCGCUGUAAAAGUCAAAGGCUCAACCUUUGAAAGCCGGUGGAUACUGCAGGGCUAGAGUCCGGAAGAGGCGAGUGGAAUUCCUGGUGCAGCGGUGGAAUGCGCAGAUAUCAGGAGGAGCACCAAUAGCGAAGGCAGCUCGCUGGGACGGUACUGACGCUAAGGCGCGAAAGCGUGGGGAGCGAACAGG